UACGGGGGGGGCAAGCGUUGUUCGGAAUUACUGGGCGUAAAGGGCUCGUAGGUGGCCAACUAAGUCGGACGUGAAAUCCCUCGGCUUAACCGGGGAACUGCGUCUGAUACUGGGUGGCUUGAGAUUGGGAGAGGGAUGCGGAAUUCCAGGUGUAGCGGUGAAAUGCGUAGAUAUCUGGAGGAACACCGGUGGCGAAGGCGGCAUCCUGGACCAACACUGACGCUGAGGAGCGAAAGCCAGGGGAGCAAACGGG
rnacentral:rRNA from 1 species